rnacentral:rRNA from 1 species
AUUAGUUUUUUAAUUGAAGGCUAGAAUGAAUGGUUGGACAAGAAAUAAUCUGUCUUAAAUUAAUAUAUUGAAUUUAACUUUUAAGUGAAAAGGCUUAAAUAAUCUGAAGGGACGAUAAGACCCUAUAAAACUUUAUAUUUAAGAAUGAUUAAUGAGUUUUGUUUNUAAGGUUAUUAUUUUUGAGAUAUUUGGUUGGGGCGACAAGAAUAGAAGAAAAAGUAACUGUUUUUUUUUAUAACAAAAAUGUUUGGGUUAAUGAUCCUAAAAUGGAUUNAAAGAUUAAGUUACUUUAGGGAUAACAGCGUAAUUUUCUUUAAGAGUUCUUAUCAAUAAGAAAGUUUGCGACCUCGAUGUUGAAUUAAAGGUUCUUUAUGGAGUAGAGACUAUAAUAGAAGGUCUGUUCGACCUU